rnacentral:lncRNA from 1 species
AUUGUGCGUUUCACAUGCCUUGUGGCAUAAAUUCUAAACAACAGGAUAAACAUCCCCCUUCCCCCUUUUCCAAAAUGAGCCCACACAGAUGUCCAUGUAUAAUAAAGCCUCACAUACCCGGAGCUACAGGCAUCAAUAAGGUUGUAAUUCCAACUGGUGACAAAGCCCAUGUGCGGGGUAAGAGUGUCUCAUUUAGUAACGACAUCAGAACCUCUUUGUGAAAUUGCAGCCUGUGUCAUGUACAUUUUUAAAGGGUGCGUUAGUCAGUAUUGUACAGGGGUCUUGUAAAGUCAUCACAACUUGCUAUGAACGCUAAUUGCCAUUUGAAGCUACUGGAUAACAGUGGCUCUGCUCUAAACCACUUUUAGCAAUUGUAUUUUUUUCCUGAUUAUAUUUUUAAUGUACUUUGAUGUUUAUGCUGAUGAGUUUUUUAUGUACUUUUGGUGAUGUUUCAGUCUUAUGUACUCUUCUGACGUCAGGAAAGUACCACUGGUUGUUUGCAGUCUUAUUGUGUAAUCAGCCUACCACAGGCUUCCAUGUAUAAUAAAGUAAUUAAUAUUGUGCAAGUGUAAAACACUUCUGUUAUGAAAGCAGUGUUUGAAAAUGAGAAAUUAUUAAAAAUGGUUACAAAAUACUAGUUAAUUUCCUUUCCCCACUUUUCCUCCCUUAAGUCUGCUUUACCAGCUAAAGGGGUCACUUAUUUGUCAUUUCAAGAUGCUUAGAAAAUGUAUUUAAUCCUCUUAAAUACACUUAAUACUAAAAAAGUCUGUAUUUCUUAUUUUGGUAAGUGUGGUGAGUUCCAUUGGGUACAGAGUACAAGCUGUAAUCAAAGGAUGGAGAGGACCUUGACCACUGUACCUCCUGAGCUGUAUGAUUUUUCUCCAGUGUUUUUGUUUUAUACAGCUUUUGAAUUUCUUUAACUUUUCUUGUGUGUACUGAAUACUGCAUAUGUACUAUUCUGAUUGUUUGCUCUAGUUUACUACCAAUAAAAGACCUGUUAAUCACAAAAUCGAAGAAAGGAGAUAUCACUUAAUAUCCAGUCACACUUUUCGGAUUUUUCUGUUAACUCCAUAAAGUAUUCAUGGCAGUGGUAUAACCAGCCUGCAGUUGAGAGACUGAAAUUUGUGUGUGCACGCGCAUUUUUUUUUUUUAAACUUAAGUGUUUCCUGUUUCUAGGUUUAUGUUAUUUGAAAAUUGGUUGACUAUUUUCUGCAGUUUGAGGCGUACUAUAUAAGAAGACUAGAAAUUUAAUAUUGUGUAAAUUAGAAUGUUUUAUUGAAUUGGGUUAGCCAACCUAAAUAUUAUUCCAGAGAGAUUAUUUAUUGAGGUUUCAUUUUUAAAUCAUAAUUCUGGUAUCUUUUAGUUUCUAGGCGCAUCCUCUUUUUGCCUCCAAAAGGUUGUAAUAAAAUAACAGUAUGACACAAAUAAAAGUGGUCCUGAGCAUUUUUAGUAGGAAAAAAAAGUAUUGUUAAAUCACAGGUUAACAGUUUCAAAAAGGGUGUAUGUGUAAAUCUUAAAAGGAGAGAGCCGAGACGUGUUAAUAUUGAAGAUGCAGAAAAGGUGUUUGAAAGCUAGUAAAUACAUUAACUUAUAAAGAUAAAGGGGGAAAAACGUGAGUCUGUACAUCUAUGAGAAGAUGGAGCUUUGCAUUUUACUGGCUACCAACACUGACGAAUUAGUGAAGAUAUGAAAAGGGUAGGUCUUGGCCUUUUUCAUAUAUGAUACAAUGUAGAGAAAUGAUACUUUAUUUGUAUUAAGCAUAAACAGGGAUUUCUCUGUAGAGAGGGCCCAUCUGAUCAGAAAAAGUAAACUUGUUUCCUCUUUGCCAAGAUUGUUCCCCAGCUUUGGUCAUUUUCUUGAACAAGCAUGUUAAGCAGAAUCUGGCUGAUUCUGCGUUGAGCUCCAACUCUUGAUUUCUCGGCCCCGGUGAUUUUCUUUCUCUGGUCUAGAUGAACUCAAACAUGAAAUUGUUUUUUUGUCCACUGAUCUCCUCCCCCCUUUUCCUUGUGUGGAAUGUCUGUUCUGAAUAGGAUGGGUUUAAAAUUAAGAUGUCUACUUUUAAGGUCUCAGGGUAUGAAGUAGGAAACUCUGCUUUGCCUUUCUAGUGUGCGGCUGUAAGGCGAGGAUGAGGACCAGCAUCAUGGGGCAGUUGGUGAUCAGUAAUUUGUGAGGUAAUGUUGUUCAGUUAUGAGAACAAAGUAAGUGGGGGGGGGGGGAAGCAAAACCUGUACUUGUAAUAAAAGUUGCAGGCGGUUUACAGAUAUUUCUACCUCCAGUUUAGUUUUCUGUAUUAUGAUCAUCAGAUGAGAGAGAGAGAAUCUUUUGUUCAUCCUUGGAAUCUGACAUCCUGCAGCUACCUGCCAGUAGUGGCAUUUAAGCCUGAGCUGGGUGACCGUUUGAGCAGUAUGGCCUCAUGAGGACAGACACAGUUCUUAGCUUUCAAAUUCAUCAGUUCUUGCAGAACUGACGAUCUUCCCUCAAAAAAGGAUUAGCUUCUGAACUUCAAAGUUAUAUUUUUAGACUUAACUACAUCUGAAGACUGUCAUUUUCAGAAUCGUAUGGUCUUUGUGUUUUCUGUGCCACAUAAUGACAGGAUUUCAUUUUUUCGCAAUGCGAUGCAAGGUCCCUUUGUUGGUCCUCUGAUGCUGUCUGUGCGUCUUGUUCUGUGCGAUUAUGCUCCACAGAGUGAGCAUAUGUGAGAGUAUGUUCCACAAAUGGUUUUGUUAAAUUAUCUCUACUGGUGGAGGGGUCUGGUGGUUUGCCCAUCUGUACUUUCUGUGAGAUGAUGUAGAGUUUCUGAUAAAUUCUGAGGAUGGUUCCACUUGUUACAUCUUUUAUGCUCUUAAUAAUUUAUUACCUAGGAGUUCCUGUUGUGGCACAGUGGUUAAAGAAUCUGACUAGGAACCAUGAGGUUGCGGGUUCGAUCCCUGGCCUUGCUCAGUGGGUUAGGGAUCCGGUGUUGCCAGGAGCUGUGGUGUAGGUUGCAGAUGUGGCUUGGAUCCCGUGUGGCUGUGGCUGUGGCGUAGACCAGUGGCUACAGCACCGAUUAGACCCCUAGUCUGGGAACCUCCAUAUGCUGUGGGAGUGGCCCUAGAAAAGGCAAAAAGGCCCCCCCAAAAAAAUUAUUACCUAAAAUGAACACGAGGAGUUCCCUUGUGGCACAGCAGUUAAGGGUCCAGCGCUGAUGCUGCAGUGGCUCAGGUUGCUGCUGCAGCGCAGGUUCAGUCUCUGGCUGGGAACUUCUGCGUGCUGUGGGCGUGGCCAAAAAAUUAAUGAAAUAAAUGAACACAGGCAUGAAGACAGCAUCUGGGAAUUCUGUUCUUACCCUUGAGCCAAAAAAAUCCUCUGCAAGAUUAUAGUUAGUUUGAAAAGCAGUUAUUACCAUAAAGAGGGCACGCAUUUUUAAAAUUAUUUCUGCUUUCUUCAUACCUCCUUUGCUUUUUAAAAAAGUAUUGACCAUGUGUGAGUAACUUCUGUUUAAACUCUUCUGAACCUUUGGGCUCACUCUGGAGAAGAAGUGCAUGGCAUUUUUAGGAUCCCAGACUCUGGGCCGCUGAUGAUGAAUCGACUGUCUCCCCACUCCCAUCCAUUUGCAGAAAUAUUUGCACACAAAAGUUCACAGGCCAAUCUGUAUACUCAAAAGAACUGCCCUCCUCCCAAGCUGAUAGAGAAUUCUUAACCUGUGGACCCCAGGCUAAGAGUCCUUGCUUCAGAAGGCUGCCUAAACAUCGAUCUUUUAGUGCGCAAGUAACUUAGCCAAUAAUACCUAAACUUAAAAAGCCUCAAAUACUACAAGUACCUUAAAAUGUCUUUUUCUGCUAUUUAAUCACUUAGCAUUUCUGGAACAUGUUUAGGUUACAAUAAAGCCAUAGUUUUUAUGAUAAGCGGAUCACCUAAUGAAUAGAAGUUCUAAUUCUUGGCAGUUUCUCGUCCAGUAAUAAGUACCAUCGAGAUGCUAGACUUGACAAUAGUUCAGUCUCUUCCCGUCGACAAAGAAAUGUGUCAACAGCGCAUAAUAACUGCAGUCAUCUACUCUAGUUCUUCAGUUGCACAGAAGUAGCUUCCCACAGAAGUGUCUGGGCCCGAGUGAAAGUCCACAACCAACCUGUACCUUUUUGUCUGGAAGCAGUGAUACUGAGUUCUCCAUGACAGGAAGCCUAUACCUCAGGUAGCCUGAGUGACUAGCCAGGUUGAAAAACACUGUGCAAGAUAAGCCUUGUAAACAAAGCGUGUUUUGUGUCGAAAUAGGUAUCUCUUGGGAAAUGUAGAUAAAUAGCUGGAAAAAAAAAUGGGACUGAUUUGGACCUUAUCCUCCAAAGGGGAAAAUUUGUUCCGUGUGUUUUGGAGUGAUGAGCAGAGGUUGGGCGUUGAGAGAGGGAGGUAAGGAGUGUCUUAGAAGGGAAAAGAAAAGGAAUAGGUUUUGAAGGAAAAUAGGGACAAAUAAAACUUCAAUAUUGAUGGGUCCUGGAGAGCUUUAAGUAAUUAGAAGGGUAGAGGAGGUUGCAAUUGAAAACCUCAGGCCUUUUUUUUUUUUUUUUUGUCUUGCUUUUCAGUUUAGACUUCUUUAGGUACUUUGGCUGGGUAUGAACUUCAGGACUAUUGUGGAACAAUUAAUAAAUAACCCUUAACAGACAACCGUGCUGAACUUACUCUUUGCACUCCCGAUCUAGGGAAAAGAUGGCUCAUCUUUGUGUUUAUUAAGUCUUUUGGUAACUCAGAAUCACUCGGCUUCCAUUGGGUGGUGAGAAUGUUAAAUAACUUCUUACCAAAAUGAUUGUAGUACAGAUUAUUAUUAUAGGUGGUUAAAUGAAUAUACACAGAACUUAGAAAUUAAGACGAAAACUUACACUACAUGCCAGUCCCUCCCCCGCCCCGGAAAAAGAGAAAGAAAGAAAUUUACAAGGACAGUGUAUAAAGGCAUACUUGGUUUGACAAAGGAAAAGUGUGAUUAUAAAAAGCUGGAAACUCCCUAAUAGUUUUUUUUUUUUUUAAGUUUUGCUUGGCAGAAUGUUUAAUUUUACCUUGUGAUUGGUUCAUCUGUUCGUUCUAGUGUAAAUAAGAAUCUUGUUUUGUAAGCAUUAUCCAUGGGAAAGUUAAGGUUUUAGUUUGCAAGCUAAAGUUUUCGUCUUGAUUUUUGGGAUGCAAGUCGAUCCGUCUGAAAGUGACAGUUUAGGUGAAUUUAUCUUGUAAAAAGUGGAUUACAGAAGUUGCCGGCGUGGCUCAGCGGAAACAAAUCCGACUAGGAUCCAUGAGGACACAGGAUCCAUCCCUGGCCUUGCUCAGUGGGUUAAGGAUCCAGUGUUGCUGUGAACUGUGGUGUAAGUUGCAGGUGUGGCUCCGACCUGGCAUUGCUGUGGCUGUGGUGUAGGCCGGCAGCUACAGCUCUGAUUGGAUCCCUGGCCUGGGAACCUCCAUAUGCCACGGGUGU